rnacentral:rRNA from 1 species
UACGUAGGGGGCUAGCGUUGCUCGGAAUCACUGGGCGUAAAGCGCACGUAGGCGGUUCCUUAAGUCGGGGGUGAAAUCCUGGAGCUCAACUCCAGAACUGCCUUCGAUACUGAGGAUCUCGAGUCCGGGAGAGGUGAGUGGAACUGCGAGUGUAGAGGUGAAAUUCGUAGAUAUUCGCAAGAACACCAGUGGCGAAGGCGGCUCACUGGCCCGUAACUGACGCUGAGGCACGAAAGCGUGGGGAGCAAACAGG